UAAGGAAUAUUGGUCAAUGGACGCAAGUCUGAACCAGCCAUGCCGCGUGAAGGAUGAAGGUCCUCUGGAUUGUAAACUUCUUUUAUCUGGGACGAAAACGGGAUUUUUAUCUCAAUUGACGGUACCAGAGGAAUAAGCACCGGCUAACUCCGUGCCAGCAGCCGCGGUAAUACGGAGGGUGCGAGCGUUAUCCGGAUUUACUGGGUUUAAAGGGUGCGUAGGUGGGCUUAUAAGUCAGUGGUGAAAUCUCCGAGCUUAACUUGGAAACUGCCGUUGAUACUAUAGGUCUUGAAUUAUCUGGAGGUGAGCGGAAUAUGGCAUGUAGCGGUGAAAUGCUUAGAUAUGACAUAGAACACCAAUUGCGAAGGCAGCUUACUACAUAUAAAUUGACGCUGAGGCACGAAAGCGUGGGGAUCAAACA
rnacentral:rRNA from 1 species